CCUUCGAGGAGAAAAAAACUCCUCGUGUCGUCUUCUCCCCUUCACGCACGGUGCGUGCUCUCCUUCCUGUCAACAUCACGCCAAGGUCCCCCUCUCUCACGCGCCUCACAUGCUUCCCCCUCCUCCUUAUCUUCUCGCCCCAGAAAACCCUAGCCACCAACCCCUCUCCUCUCUCUCCCAUUCGCGCCGCCACCCCCAUCUCCCACCUCCUUUUCUUCUCUGUGAGAAAACCACCGUGAGCAGCUCACCGUCGCCCCGCCAUCUCCGGCCGCCCCUCGCCGAACCGAGAGUACUCAGAGAACCGCAUCGUCGAGCUCUACCUUCUGGUGUAAGGAAUCACUCCAAAAGGCUCUCAAUCGGACACACGUUCGCCGUUCCCCCCGCCAUGCCCAGCGCACUUCGGCGAGAAAUUCGUCGCCGUCCGACCUCCUUUGCCGUUUUCGAGCACACCAUCGCGUUCCUGGUGCUCGUCGUCGGCCUUCCUCCGGCGGAUUCCCGACGCCAAGAUCUCCACCAGCAGCCUCCCCUUGGUCUUCCGCUUUGAGCGCGCACACUCCCGCAUCCAGGCGUGCGCUCGGCUGCCAGAUCGAGGCUCGAUCUGCACGUUUCUGUCAACCAUGGUCGCCACGGUCAAGUCCGGCCUGCACUACAUCUUUUUGCCGUGCACCUUGCACUGCUCACCGAACCACAUCUAGCCUAGUGAUCCGGCGUACCAAUGGGCCACGGCCCAGAUCCUACAUCUCAGAUCAACGCCCGGUGCGGCCCAUUCCAAUCUGACGCCGAAGCUGAUCAGUUCCGGCCCAGGAUAGCGCAGGUCCGACCCAGUUCGUCCUGGCCCUUUUUCUGUUUUUCCUGAAAAUUGCUGCACAUAUUUAUAUCUUGCAAAAAUCAUAUCUCACAAACCGUAACUCGGAAUAAAAUGUUUUAUAUAUGAAAAUUGAUCAGAAAAACAUAAGGAACAUGAAUAUGCCAUCCAUUCAUCUGUUUGCAUCUCGCAUCAUGUCGCUCGUGGAUAGUCGUGUAUAUUCACCUUACAUAUAUGCGGAGUAUUUCGGACACUGACUAGGGUUUCCCCGCUCCGUUUAACUUUGAAGUAGAUCACCCUUGCCAUGCUCUUGCCAUGAUUAACAACCACUUAAAUUUGACGGUAGAAAUGCAACUCCAACUCUAAUUUGAUUGUCCGGGGUUUCGACUCCGAUUAAUGUGGAUAAGUUGCAUCGCCGCAUCAUGUUUGCCAUGUCAUGCAUGCAUACCAUAUCAUGAGCAUGCUGGUUCUUUAUCCGUAGUAGUAAGAUUGCAUACGUUGUGUGUUUCAGCAUUUGCUUCUUCUCGGAUAGGAACGCGAAGUGGUGUGGUGAGAUACGACAAGUUCUCCGGAUGUCCCUCGGCAAGCUUUAACAGGCAAGCAUUUCCCCUAUACUCCUGUCCCUGCAGGAGUCGCUCACCUAUUUUAUUUUUGCCUUCUCCCUCAUGCUAUCCUUAAGUUGCGUUCUUGUCACGUGUCCUUUCCACUUGUUACCUCAAGCAGCCCAUAUUGCCACCACCACCUCCUACGGCUAUUGUUUGGUUAUCGAGUCUGCCCUUGCGAGUCGUAGUGCAUGCUAGUGCCGUCUUAUCUUGUUACCGUUUUGUUAUCUUAUCGGGUUAUAUGUUGGGAAGAAUCAUGGUUACUCUAGUUGUUGAUAUUUGUUCAGCGGAGGCAUCGGUGGGUCAGCUGAUUGUUUUGUGACGGCUCACUUGUGUUUCCUAAAUAACCUAGGACCCCGAGUUCUUGUUAUCUGUUCCGAGACUGAGCGCUCUAACCACACGUGGGUAUGCUUACCGGGUCUCCCCUCGACCACUGCCGGAAUCUACAACUUUGUCCAGUGGACACAACUAGUUUGGAUGUUUGUUUUGUUUCUUCCGGGCGUGCAAGCUUGUUUCUUUGUGGUCGGAUGAUAUGAUGUUACUUUUGGGGAAGCCAUGUUGCCUUGUAACCCCGUUGUCUCUUGCACGUCCAUAGGUGCGGCACGUAUUGCUGAAGAUGGAUUCACCCUGCGGGCACUGUUUCCAUCCGAAAGCCGUUCUCGCAACAACUAGGUCCGCGUCGGAGUUUCGAUCGGGCUCCGAAACGGGUUAACUUAGUUAGGUGGCUUCCUGGACAUUGUUGUAGUGAAGGAGAGUGCGUGUCGUGAUAUCCACCUGUCGUAAGUGGGUUGAUCGUGCGUGUGGGCACAUUUGGGCACCCCUGCAGGGUUACAAUCUUAUCGAUAAGCCGUGUCCGCGGUUAUGGACGACUUGGAGCUGUAUGACUCGACCAUAGACAACUUACACCUGUUGCUUCAAUCAUAAUAACUUGUGUAGUAAGUUAGCACAACUCUAAUAAUAAAUGGUUAAAACUUGUCAACAGUGUGAGUGCCUUUGCCAGUACCUCUUUGCGAAGGGGGAAAGCAUCGGCUGUGUUAUGUUUGCAGAGUAUAGAAUUGUUAGUUGUGCGCUCUCUCACCUUCUCUGAUUAGACGAAAGUUGUAGAGUGUCUCUAUAGGUUUUUAGUGCUUGCGCGCUGCCGCUUAACCCCACCAUAUUAUCCAUGACGUUCCUCUUGCGUCCUCUAAGUCCCCUGCGUGCCUCAAGUACAAAGGAUGACUGGUUGACGAAUGCUUAUACGUCUUGAAGUCUUGCUAAGUACGAACCCGUACUUAUUGCUGCUUCUACGGGAUAUAACCGGGCAGGUAUGAAGAUAUGUUCGAAGAAGACGACGUUAGCAAGGUUACCCUUCCGGCUUGGCCUGGGCAGGGUUAUGGACGCCACUGGUUAUCUUCAGGACUCUUAGUCCAAUUUGCAUCUUGUCCGUACUCGGAUGUAUUCGAUCUUCUAUAUGAUUUGGAUCUUUGUAUUGUAUAUUUGUAUCUUGACUCGUUGGAGUCGUUGUUGUAAUAUAUGUAUCUUGUGGGCUCUAUUGUAAUCCUGUUGUAAUGUUACUGCUCGUGUUAAUUCCUCUGGCACCACGUGUGUGAUUUGUCGCGCACGUCGUGUCGGAGGGCGUCUCUGGAUCGAUAUCGUGCGGAUUUCGGCGGGAUCGCUGGAAUCCUCAUGGUACCGGUUCCGGGGCGUCACAAGUUGGUAUCAGAGCCUCAGGUUGACGGUACCCCACUAGUCCAGCCUGUAGGAUAACCUUGCCAACCGACGUUGUUGUGUCUAGUGUCAAAACUAUUUUCUAAAAAUCGUUGGAUAGAUCUGAUUAGCUCUGAUUUUUCU